rnacentral:rRNA from 1 species
UGAACGCUGGCGGCGUGCUUAACACAUGCAAGUCGAACGAUGAAGCCCAGCUUGCUGGGUGGAUUAGAGGCGAACGGGUGAGUAACACGUGAGUAACCUGCCCUUGACUCUGGGAUAAGCCUGGGAAACUGGGUCUAAUACUGGAUAUGACUUCUCAUCGCAUGGUGGGGGGUGGAAAGAUUUAUUGGUCUUGGAUGGACUCGCGGCCUAUCAGCUUGUUGGUGAGGUAAUGGCUCACCAAGGCGACGACGGGUAGCCGGCCUGAGAGGGUGACCGGCCACACUGGGACUGAGACACGGCCCAGACUCCUACGGGAGGCAGCAGUGGGGAAUAUUGCACAAUGGGCGCAAGCCUGAUGCAGCGACGCCGCGUGAGGGAUGACGGCCUUCGGGUUGUAAACCUCUUUCAGUAGGGAAGAAGCGAGAGUGACGGUACCUGCAGAAGAAGCGCCGGCUAACUACGUG